GUGCUUGCUUAGACAGCACAUAUACUAAAAUUGGAAUGAUACAGAGAAGAUUUGCAUGGCCCCUGCUCAAGGACAUGCAAAUUUGUGAAGUGCUCCAUAUUAAA
ensembl:snRNA U6 U6 spliceosomal RNA